AACCCGCCCCGCCGUUAAAAAAAGAGAGAAGAAAACCGUGAGCACGAUCUCUCCCCCGUCCGCAGGACCUCUCGCCCCCGCCUUCUCCGGCGCCGUUCGCCGCCCGCGGUUUGCCGCCCAUCGCGCCCUUCGCCGCGGGACAGCCGGAGCCGCCGCCCGUCGCGCACUGCGGGAGCCGCCGCAGGUUGUCGCUUGUCGCGCCCUUCGCCGCGGGAGAGCCGGAGCCACCGCCCGUCGCGCGCCGGAGGAGCCACCGCAGGUCGCCGCGGGAGAGCCGGGGCCGCCGCGAUCGUGAGCAGCCGCCCGCCCAUCCUCCAUCCCUACGCGGGCGCACCUUCCUUCAGCUCCUCCUCGCGCCGCCCCUCUCCUUUGCCCCGGCCGCCAAGACCCAGCGGUCGCUUCACCGGGUUGCGGCGCUGCCCCGCCCAAUAGCCUCCUAGCGGCCGCCUGCCGCCAUCCGCGCAGACUGCUUCACCGACGCCCGCGGCCGCUUCACCGGGCCACGGCGUCGCCCGCCCAUCCCUGUGUGUGCGACGGCUGAAAAUUUCGAUCUGCGAUGGUGCGCGGAGAUCAAGCGAUGACGGCAACAGCGUCGAGCUUUGCAGAUUUCAGCUAGAGCUUGCAGAGUUCUAAAAUAUGUUGACCAAAUCGUUUCUUCAAAACCUGGUUCACAAAUACUAUGAUCUUGCUACUAGCUUCUAUGAGUGUGGCUGGACUGAAUCCUUCCACUUUGCUCAUAGCAUUUUAGGUGGAAUGGUGAACCUUGAAGCAGAAGUACCAAACGGUACGAGCACUUUCUGGCCCUAUAGCUUGAGUUGAAGCCUGGGAUGAAGGUCGUUUUUCUUAUGAAGAUCGAAUAACCCAUGGUUUUGGAUGUCAGGUAUGGAAUAGGCAGGCCAUUAAGAGAAAUUCCAAGAUUUAGGUUUAAUUCCUGUUUCGCGCUUUCACCUCUCUUCAUACGUGUGAAUACUGAUGUGUUCGGGUUUAGACAUUCUCAUAUGCGUGAUUAACGCAACUGAAGUGAUUCAUGUUUUUCUUACUUUCAACUGAAAACUUGUGGGGGCAUGAUUUUGAGGAGGCGAUCCAGAGCACCAAUAAGUUAGAGAAGUUCGACCUCAACCUUUCCAGGAAUUAAUCUAUUUUGGAACGGAGCUCCACCUCAGUUACUGAUUGAACAACAACGACUACCAAAUAACUAGGGAAAGGUCGCCACCAAGAACGGGUCACUGAUAGUAUCAACAUGGAGGCGUGCCUUAGCCUGGAGCCCAGCAAGAAGAUCAUCGGGAGCUUCGGGACAUUUGAGACGGCCGUUCUCCAUGUGGCCAACGCCAUCCAGCUGCAGGCAUUGCGCCGGCUUCGGCAGGAGUCGGUCAAGCCCAAUGUGAGUUACCAAUCUUCUUACAUUAGAGUGUCGUAAUUGAUUUACUUAUUAUCAUAGCAAUAUGCUUGGAUGGUUGUAAUUCAUGACGGGAUUAACAGUACCCCAUCACAGAAACUUCUACAUUCAGUUAGGACUACUUAUGUCUACUUAAACGUGUUCCUUAUCCCGACUUUCAUAUACACGCAUAGUAUGAACUGUAGUCCUGCUAACUGCUAGCUUUUUUGGUCAUAUCUGAUUCUGUGGUGUUAAUCCACUCCUACGUUGCCAAACUCAGUUUGAUUAUACAUGGAGUAUGUUAUAUACUUUGAUGAUAUUUUCGGAUUUUAAAUAUAUGACAAGCACAAUCCCUGAUACUAAUGCUUACUCUGUUUAUUUUGGAUGUUCAAGUGUAGCAUCUAUUGACCAAUGCAAGCUCCAUCAGGAUGUGCGUAGUGUCCAUAAGUUCCCUUUUGGCCAGUACAUGGAGAAAAAAAACAUGGAAUGUACAACAAUCCUACAUGAAACAUUCUGAACAAAGUCAUAUUGAGCUACCCCUAGAAAUUUUUGCAGCUUCUGUGAACUCUUGUUUUAUGUUCUAUAGGGCCAACUUGCAUUUUCACGUCAAGCAUGGCUGAUUAUCAGAGGGCAAGGAAAGAUGGAGUAGCAGAAGCAUUGCUUACGAUGAGUUCAUCGGGUCAACAGUGCACAUUAACAAGCAUUGCCUGCUGUCUGCCUUCGCCUACUUUGACGAGGAUGACAGCGGGUACAUCACCGUUGACCGCUGGAAGAGGUGCGCUGGGAGUACAACACAAGCUGACCGGCAUCGCGACAUCGCCAGGGAGGUCGGCAAUGACAACAUGCGUUCGUAAUGACUUGAAGAAAGCAUAUGAGAAGCGAGUAUAGGAGCUUUAAUAUUAGAGCAACAGGGGAGGAGCAAAUGAUUGAAGGGCUAUCAGCCGUGUAAUAGAAAGCUGAGGAUAACGUCAACAGGUGGAAAACUAUAUUUGGUUGACAUAAUAACACUAGCAAAGGUGAAUAACAAUGUAACAUUAUCGUUUCAUUAGUUGAUCCAUUCAACUUUUGUUUGAUAUGACUGGCAUGAUAUUUGGAUAGGAAAGUUAUUUGUUAACUCUGUAUCAUUUUUAUGUGCAAGCUAAUAAUUAUGCA